AGAAGUGGCUAAUAAUAUUGA
rnacentral:miRNA from 1 species